rnacentral:rRNA from 1 species
UGGGGGAUAUUGCACAAUGGGCGAAAGCCUGAUGCAGCGACGCUGCGUGGGGGAUGAAGGCCUUCGGGUUGUAAACUUCUUUUGCUCUGAACAAGGCGCACCAUGGGGUGUGUUGAGUGUAGGGGUUGAUUAGCGCCGGCUAACUACGUGCCAGCAGCCGCGGUAAUACGUAGGGCGCGAGCGUUGUCCGGAAUUAUUGGGCGUAAAGGGCUUGUAGGUGGCUGGUUGCGUCUGUCGUGAAAGCUCAUGGCUUAACUGUGGGUUUGCGGUGGGUACGGGCUGGCUUGAGUGCAGUAGGGGAGGCUGGAAUUCCUGGUGUAGCGGUGGAAUGCGCAGAUAUCAGGAGGAAUACCGGUGGCGAAGGCGGGUCUCUGGGCUGUUACUGACACUGAGGAGCGAAAGCAUGGGGAGCGAACAGG